CAGUUCAAAUUGAACUAUUGAAAAGGUCCACGAUAGGUGUUAUUGGAGUUUUAUAUGUAAUAUUUUGGGAGUGCUUGAUGUUACUGGAUUAAAUUUUGCCAUAAUACUAUACUAAGUAUCAUUUGUGAGCUUAAUUUCCUUUUGUCUUAGUUUAGAUGAAGCAGAAUUUCUGGUAUAAGCAAACAGUUCACAAAGGAAGCAUUAGAAUUGACAAAUAUCUGUACUUGCGAACACAACCCUGAGUACAAGAACAGACAAUGAAAAUAAGUCCAGGCUAUUGGAUGUGAUUAUGUGAACGUCUCAAAUAUUACAUGUCGACAGAAGCUAUAAGCUGUUAUAAUAUCUUUAAUUCUGCCAUCUGCUGUUUAAAAGAAAAUCAAAACUAAUGCUCUUAUUGAGAGUCGAAUUCAAGACCUCUCGCUUACUAAACGGGUACCCUAACCAACUGUGCUAGAAGAACGCUUUGCCUUGCUAGUCAAUGGAUUGAAACUUUUUUCAAUGCUGAUACUUAACAGUUUUUGCCUAAUUUCUGCAUAGGCAGUUCUUUUUAGUUUUUCCUGUUUUUAGCUCGAUCGUAUCCAUUACAGGUGGAGCCAUGUUCGUGGUCUUUGAAAUUCGGAGUACCAAACUCCAGUCUCCAGUGACUGAACUUGUAGUGUUUACCAGCUCAUUCAGUAUCUAGCAUGAAUUAUAUCUUUCUCCCUGGUGUCAAAUGGGAACUUUUUAACAAUUAGAAGUUUGAUGAUAUUUAUUCAAUAUCUUAUGAUGAAGUUCAGACUGCAAGGACCUUUGCUUGACAAGGUUGGUUUAUUAACUUAGGUCGCUUGUUUGAAAUGUGAAUCUGGCAGCCUGCAGCUCCCUAUUUUGGCCUCUACAAGACUGCAACUUUUUUACAAUUGUGAACUUAUCACUAAUAAGGCGACAAGCGAUUCCUGACAAGUACUUUGGCGGAGUUACAACUGAAUUUUCUCAAAAUAAGCUUGAUGAGCUCAGAGACUUGUGGAUCAAAUAUGUGGAUGAGUAUAAACAAGUGGAUGAAGAAGAAUUGGAAGAUAAUGACCAUUUUAAUUAGGAUGUGUGUAUUUUCUUUUUGAGCGGGAUUAGGGAGGUGCUUUUAUUUUUGUGCACAUGAAUUGGAAGAAACGAUAGGCCUAGGUGUUCUAUUAUUUUUUAUAACUUAGUUGAAUUUUUGGAAUCUUUUAAACAUUAUUUGUGAUUUUGUAGUGAAUGAUAUUCAAUGAAUGAAAAAGUAUUCCAAUUUUAAAGUCA